rnacentral:sRNA from 1 species
GCGCGGGCCGACCGGGCGCACCGACCAUGGCCUCCAAAUGCCCCAAGUGCGACAAGACCGUGUACUUCGCCGAGAAGGUGAGCUCCCUGGGUAAGGACUGGCACAAGUUCUGCCUCAAGUGCGAGCGCUGCAGCAAGACGCUGACGCCCGGGGGCCACGCCGAGCAUGACGGGAAGCCGUUCUGCCACAAGCCGUGCUACGCCACCCUGUUCGGACCCAAAGGUGAGCUCCGGCUGCCCUUGGCCUGCCCUGGAACCUGCUGGGAGGGGCCUGGCGCUGGCGCUGGGGAGGGCUGGGGGUCCCGGCCGCCGUGGAUCCCGGCCCAGAGUCCCCACCCCCCUGGAAAGCCUAGUGCCCCCAGCCCCCAGCGGGCCGUUUUCUGAGACGCCGGGUGGCCGCGGCCCCCACCCCACGUACCCCCACCCGCAGGCGUGAACAUCGGGGGCGCGGGCUCCUACAUCUACGAGAAGCCCCUGGCGGAGGGGCCGCAGGUCACCGGCCCCAUCGAGGUCCCCGCGGCCCGAGCAGAGGAGCGGAAGGCCAGCGGCCCCCCGAAGGGGCCCAGCAGAGCUUCCAGUGUCACAACUUUCACCGGGGAGCCCAACACGUGCCCGCGCUGCAGCAAGAAGGUGUACUUCGCUGAGAAGGUGACGUCUCUGGGCAAGGAUUGGCACCGGCCCUGCCUGCGCUGCGAGCGCUGCGGGAAGACACUGACCCCCGGCGGGCACGCGGAGCACGAUGGCCAGCCCUACUGCCACAAGCCCUGCUAUGGAAUCCUCUUCGGACCCAAGGGAGUGAACACCGGUGCGGUGGGCAGCUACAUCUAUGACCGGGAUCCCGAAGGCAAGGUCCAGCCCUAGGCCACAGCGGCUGUCAUGAUGUGGGCUCACCUGCGCCCCAGACCCUGCAGGGGCCCCCCUGCUUGGCUCUGCUGGGAGAGUGCUCAGCCGCCCAGUCCUGCCUGCAAGCCCAGGGCGAGUAUUGGAGGAGGGGCAGCCACGGGCAGAGCGCCAUGCCCAUCCCUGAGUCUCUAGUGUGUCUGCCCCCUCUGGCGUCCUCUGGGCGUCCCAUGACCCCUUCUGUGUCUGCGUGUCCGAAUCCCCGUGUGACCCUGUCCCAGCGUUUUCCUGCCGGCCCUGCGCAUCCCUGCGUGUCCCUGUGUGUCCCUGUGGCGCUGUCCGCUCUCCCUCUCCUGCUGCCCACCCACCUGCCAGUGUUAUUUAUGCUGCCUUCAUGGGUGAUGGCCACGCCCCCACCAUGUCCCUGGCAGAGGACUUCCCUCCGGGAUCCCCUGCCUGGUGCCCACACGUCCUCGCAAGCGCUCGCCACCCUCACGUGGCCCACCUGCUGUUGAGCCUUGUGCUGUCAAUAAACGGUUUGAGGAUUG